rnacentral:ncRNA from 1 species
UCAACUGCUUUGAUGAAAACGAGUAAGGGUGGCCUAUCGCCACAGCGAGCCUGGAAAGGUGCAAGCCAGGCGCGUAAUCCACCCCGAAAAUCCUUUUGGAGCAGGCAACCGAACAGGGCCUCUUGCCCCCAGUAGAUUUGCCCGGUUUAACCCACCGUUACCCCGGUUCCCCUGUCGAGCUGUUUUUGCUCCGCAGGCGGCAAUAAGCGGACACAAUUUGUCAAAUUGGGUGGUACCGCGAGAGAACUUUAUUCACUAACUCUCGUCCCUUUG